UACGUAGGAGGCGAGCGUUGUCCGGAGUUACUGGGCGUAAAGGGUGCGCAGGCGGCGGUUCGCGUGGCGAGAUGAAAUCUCCUGGCUUACCUGGGAGGAUGGUCGCCAGACGGGAUCGCUUGAGGGUCGGAGAGGGGCGUGGAAUUCCAGGUGUAGCGGUGAAAUGCGUAGAUAUCGAGAGGAACACCUGCGGCGAAGGCGGGUUGCUGGGCUGACACUGACGCUGAAGCGCGAAAGCUAGGGGAGCGAACGGG
rnacentral:rRNA from 1 species